rnacentral:rRNA from 1 species
GAUGAACGCUGGCGGCGUGCCUAACACAUGCAAGUCGAACGGGAAUCUUAGGAUUCUAGUGGCGGACGGGUGAGUAACGCGUAAGAAUCUAACUUCAGGACGGGGACAACAGUUGGAAACGACUGCUAAUACCCGAUGUGCCGCAAGGUGAAAGGUUAACUGCCUGAAGAUGAGCUCGCGUCCGAUUAGCUAGUUGGUGGUGUAAAGGACUACCAAGGCGACGAUCGGUAGCUGGUUUGAGAGGACAAUCAGCCACACUGGGACUGAGACACGGCCCAGACUCCUACGGGAGGCAGCAGUGGGGAAUUUUCCGCAAUGGGCGAAAGCCUGACGGAGCAAUACCGCGUGAGGGACGAAGGCCUGUGGGUUGUAAACCUCUUUUCUCAGGGAAGAAGCUCUGACGGUACCUGAGGAAUCAGCAUCGGCUAACUCCGUACCAGCAGCCGCGGUAAU